CCUACGAGAGGCAGCAGUGGGGAAUAUUGCACAAUGGGGGAAACCCUGAUGCAGCGACGCCGCGUGAGUGAAGAAGUAUUUCGGUAUUUAAAGCUCUAUCAGCAGGGAAGAAAAUGACGGUACCUGACUAAGAAGCCCCGUCUAACUACGUGCCAGCAGCCGCGGUAAUACGUAGGGGGCCAGCGUUAUCCGGAUUUACUGGUUGUAAUGGGAGGGUAGACGGCCAGACAUGUCAGAAGGGAAAGACCAGAGCUCAACCCUGGGACUGCUUUUGAAACUGCGGGGCUGGAGUGCACGAGAGGUAAGCGGAAUUCCUAGUGUAGCGGUGAAAUGCGUAGAUAUCAGGAGGAACACCAGUGGCGAAGGCGGCUUACUGGACUGUAACUGACGUUGAGGCUCGAAAGCGUGGGGAGCAAACAGGAUUAGAUACCCGUGUAGUC
rnacentral:rRNA from 1 species